UACACAGACAUGAUUAUGCAUAUUUCUGAUAAACAGGUCAACUUUGAGCAAUAUGAUGGGCUCAUCACUUUCGUAAAUAUCAACAACAUACACUAGAGGUUUGCGUGACUACAUGCUUACACUGACACCAUUUUUAAUACUUGACCCUCAAAGUGGUACAAAUUAAAUGAAAGAAGCCAAAAAAGCCUGCAAAUACCUUUGGUAGGACAGUUUGUUUUAAAAAGUAAUUUGGCUUGUUUAGCUCCACAACAUUAAUGAUGGUAAAUUACCAUAGUUGGUGUUGCUUAAAACCACAAUAAACACACACACUGCAUUUUUCCAAAAACAGAGAAUUUUUCCAAAUGAGAAAAAACAAGUAUGGAAGAGAGGACUUGGUGAGUACCAAGUGGAAACCUGGCACAAUCCAACAUUCAUUUCAGGAGGAUGGUUCCAGCUGUGGUGUCUUUGUGAUGCUGAUGGCGAAACCGGUGGUGGAAGGGUUCCCAAAAAUUCCUGACAGCAUUAAUAUAAGGAGAUGAUGUGCCACUACAGGAAAAAUGUGGCCAAUGAAAUUUUGC